rnacentral:rRNA from 1 species
GAUGAACGCUGGCGGCGUGCCUAAUACAUGCAAGUCGAGCGAACGGACGAGAAGCUUGCUUCUCUGAUGUUAGCGGCGGACGGGUGAGUAACACGUGGAUAACCUACCUAUAAGACUGGGAUAACUUCGGGAAACCGGAGCUAAUACCGGAUAAUAUUUUGAACCGCAUGGUUCAAAAGUGAAAGACGGUCUUUCUGUCACUUAUAGAUGGAUCUGCGCUGCAUUAGCUAGUUGGUAAGGAAACGGCUUACCAAGGCAACCAUGCAUAGCCGACCUGAGAGGGUGAUCGGCCACACUGGAACUGAGACAGGGUCCAGAGUCCUACGGGAGGCAGCAGUAGGGAAUCUUCCGCAAUGGGCGAAAGCCUGACGGAGCAACGCCGCGUGAGUGAUGAAGGUCUUCGGAUCGUAAAACUCUGUUAUUAGGGAAGAACAUAUGUGUAAGUAACUGUGCACAUCUUGACGGUACCUAAUCAGAAAGCAACGGCUAACUACGUG